CCCUUAGAUGUUCUGGGCUGCACGCGCGCUACACUGAUGCGCUCAACGAGUUUUAACCUUGCCUGGAAAGGUUGGGUAAUCUUUUUAAAACGCAUCGUGAUGGGGAUAGAUUAUUGCAAUUAUUAAUCUUCAACGAGGAAUUCCUAGUAAAUGCGAGUCAUCAUCUCGCGUUGAUUACGUCCCUGCCCUUUGUACACACCGCCCGUCGCACCUACCGAUUGAAUGGUCCGGUGAAGCCUCGGGAUUGCGAAUGCUUCGUGCGGACGCGAGAACUUGGCUAAACCUUACCAUUUAGAGGAAGGUGAAGUCGUAACA
rnacentral:rRNA from 1 species